AGUCGAGGGGCAGCAUUACUGCUUGCAGUAGAUGGCGACCGGCGCACGGGUGCGUAACGCGUAUGCAACCUACCCAUAACAGGGGGAUAGCCCGAAGAAAUUCGGAUUAACACCGCAUAAUACAUAGAGUCUGCAUGGAUUUUAUGUUAAAUAUUUAUAGGUUAUGGAUGGGCAUGCGUAUGAUUAGUUAGUUGGUGAGGUAACGGCUCACCAAGGCGACGAUCAUUAGGGGUUCUGAGAGGAAGGUCCCCCACACUGGUACUGAGACACGGACCAGACUCCUACGGGAGGCAGCAGUGAGGAAUAUUGGGCAAUGGAGGCAACUCUGACCCAGCCAUGUCGCGUGCAGGAUGACGGCCCUAUGGGUUGUAAACUGCUUUUAUAUGGGAAGAACUAGCCACGAGUGGUGAAAUGACGGUACCACAUGAAUAAGCACCGGCUAACUCCGUGCCAGCAGCCGCGGUAAUACGGAGGGUGCAAGCGUUAUCCGGAUUUAUUGGGUUUAAAGGGUGCGUAGGUGGAAUUAUAAGUCAGUGGUGAAAGUUUGCGGCUCAACCGUAAAAUUGCCAUUGAAACUGUAGUUCUUGAGUAUGUUCGAAGUAUGCGGAAUGUGUUGUGUAGCGGUGAAAUGCAUAGAUAUGACACAGAACACCAAUAGCGAAGGCAGCGUACUGGGGCAAUACUGACACUGAUGCACGAAAGCGUGGGAGCGAACAGGAUUAGAUACCCUGGUAGUCCACGCCGUAAACGAUGAUAACUGGUUGUUUGUCGAUUGAGGCAAGUGACUGAGCGAAAGUAUUAAGUUUUCCACCUGGGGAGUACGUCGGCAACGAUGAAACUCAAAGGAAUUGACGGGGCCCGCACAAGCGGAGGAACAUGUGGUUUAAUUCGAUGAUACGCGAGGACCUUACCUGGACUUAAAUGUAGAUUGCAUAGAGUAGAGAUAUUCUUUUCUUCGGACUAUUACAGGUGCUGCAU
rnacentral:rRNA from 1 species